UGUCUAGAUGCUAGGGUGGAGUAUGCGGCCGUGGAGAACAUCAUUACGCCUAUUGGCCUCGUCGUCGGCUGCGAAGUGGAAUCCUUGCGAGUGUCAGCGCUAAACUGGGACUGCAGGACAGCAUCAACAGGGCUGAAGCUGGCCGAGGUCCAGUGCAUCGACGUUCUGGAUGUGGAUUACCAAUUUCUGUGAAGGUGAAGUGGCUUCGUAUCUGUGGAAGAAUAGAAAGGUUUUUAGUUUCUUUUCAGCCGCCGCCAUCAUCUGGAUUCUGGAGCUGCCGCCGUCCAUCAUCAGGUUCUCUGCUGGGGCCGUCAUUUGCCUGCGUAGCAGCUGCAUUAGCGCUACUGCGGCUGAUUUCCAUAUUGUGUGUUGCAAACGGAUUUCGCAGCCAGUUCUCGCGUCUGACUUGGAGCAAUAUUGAUUGGAUGGCUGUCAGGCUUCUGUUGCUGUUUGGAUUGUGCUCUUCUAUCAUUGCGGCAUACCUUGGCCUGGCCAGCCUUCUUGGAAUGUAUGGGUAUGGCAUGACGGGUUUUUUGGCCAGGAGUUGCCCGGCUAACCUUGGAGCUGGAGUGUGUAGCUGCACAGACCAUGAUAAUGCAUCAGCCAGGAGCCGCUCCACAUUUUCGUUGGCUUGUUUUGGACUUGGGGCAGAUACGAGGUAUACUGCGUCAUCAGCGUACGUUGCUAGCAUUUGGGUUGAGUUUGCGUGUCUUGGUGGCUGCGGCAUGUCGGCAGUGUAAAGGUUGUAGAGUACUGGGCCAAGUACGCUUCCUUGCGGCACUCCAGCGGUUAUGUGCUUUAGGCUUGAGGUGAUGUUGUUGCAGCAGACGACUUUGAAGCUUCUGUCUGAGAGAUAGCUGAGAAGACCCUGAUGCCAGACUCUAUCAAAGGCCUCCUGGAUAUCCAUGUACACAGCACUGCAAUGCCGCUGCGCUUCGUAGGAUCUGAGGAUGAAUUGCGUGACUCGUCCGAUUUGCUGUUCCGCUGAGUGCUGACUUCUGAAGCCAAAUUGAUGGUUUGGAAUAGCCAUGGCAAAGCUUUCUUCUUCAAAAAGUCGUUUGAGGAUGAGGCGUUCAAGGAUUUUGGAGAAGCCUGACUUUGGGAAGUGGCCGAACUGCAGAGCCGAGUUGCAUAUCAACAGCAGAUACUCGAUGGCGGAUGUUGGCAGAGAUUUAAUGACGCGAUUGUCGAUACUGUCGAAACCGGGUGCCUUUUUCGUCUUGAGCUUCUUAAUUUCCGAUUUGAGUUCCUGGAUGGUCACAGGUCUGCCGUGAUCUUUGGCGUGAAACGUGCUUCCAGGUGCUGCGCAAAGGCCUCAGCUUUUUCCUCCGUAGUUUUGCACCAAGGUUCAGCAGGAGCUUGCUGCCCUUCCGCAACGUGCCUUCUGACUGGCAGAUUUGGGAUGGGCUGUCUCUUGAUUGUGUUGCUUGAUCCGUUUACGUAUUCUGUUAGUCAGCUGAUUGAUAGUGCGUGCAAUGAGGGGGUUGGAGCACCUAUCUUUUUGGUUGAUUUUGCAGAGAAUUCUUUUGAUCUUGAUCGCUUUCAGCGUUUGCGAGUCAAGAUGGAAGCUUUGCGGUCCGUACACUGUGUGCUGGUUACUUGAGGUUUGCGAAGCCAAUUCAGCUGCAAUGUAAAUGUUCUUUUCAAGGAUAGCCACUGCAUCAUCUAUGUCGUCGCCGUUGUGAAGUUCAGUCUCCAGAUGGAUUCGCUGUUCUAGGUCUCAGGAGGAGUCUAAUAAUUUGCAUGUUGUGAUCUGAACCUAAGUCAUAUGAUGUUUCGAUGUGGAUUAAAUUGUGUCUAAUACCCUUAUAAA